CCGACUGGGACCGCCCUUAUCCAAUUCAGUGGAUGUUCCAUGGUUUUUCCUUGGUCUUAUCGGGAGUAAUUGAGAAGAUAAACUUCAAUCUUAUUUCCUUACUCUUCAUUCUUCUUCUUUUCUUCUUCUGUUUUCUCUCUUUCUCUCUGCCGUUUUUUCAAUUCGAGUGAUUUGAGCCUGAAAGUGUGUGAAUGAGUCAUAGGGAGUUUAGUAGCUUGAUGAAUUAGAGGAGAAGGUGAUGAUGUUUCUAUCGAUUGAGUUUUGGAAGACGCAGAAAAGGAUGAAGAAGAUGAUUGAGUUGCAGUUCAAGGGUAAUUGGUAAUUGAAGACUUGGAUAUUGAUGUUGUUUGUUUGAGUAAAAUUGAAAUGAGAUACAGCUGUAGAUAAAUGGAAUUGGUGGAGAAAUUUUAAUUGUAGUUAGGUUGGUAUGGUUCCUGAACUGGGACAUUUCUGAUGAAGAAGAUGAGUUGAACAGGGGUCAUUGCAGUAGCAUCUGGGAGUAUGAGAUAGGGUUUGUAGUUAGAUGUGGAGAAUUACAAGUAGUGGUGGGAACUGAAAGAUACAGUAGAUUGUGGAAUUGUAAAUGGUGAUUGUGUUACUGUGGUAAGAGUUCAGUUUGGAGAGGAAGAUGGUGGAAUGAACUGAUGCUACACUUUCAGAUGGAGGUAGUGUCCACAAGAAGCCCUAAUUGGUUGAGCUAAGAGAUGAAGUAAGUUCACAGCUAUGCUGAGAAGAAAAUGAAGAAGGGGUGUUGAGGUUAGAGGUUGCUGACAAGAGAAUCGUGCUGCGAAGACAAAACCAGUGCAAGACCCGAGAAUUGGUUAUGGUGUUAAUGCAAUGAGUAGUGUAGUUGAGCUGAUUAUGUUACACAAUGAAGAACAUGAAGAAGAUGUAGGUGAAGAAGAAUGGUAGUUGAGUUGAGGUCUGGUUAUGAAUGUAUCAUUUGAUGGUAGAGAAUGAAGUAGAGAGCAACUGCAGAUACAAGUGGGCUAUGCCCAGUUUUUUAAGCUAUAAAUAGAUGUGAAGAAAAUGUUAUCUAGAGAUUGGGGACUACAGAUUUUCAAUGAUUGGUGGAAGCAAGACCUUGGAGAGGGUAGCUGGUGGAAGAAUGAAGUAUGAAUGCUUAGAUUUGAGCCGAAGUUGAGGCUACAGAGAGAGCAAAGAUUGUGCAGUGUCCAAGUGAUGUAGAUGAUAUGGUUUAAGAUAGUGAUGGUCAACAAUAGUUGUAGGUAAAGUUGUAAUAGUUGGUUGAGCUGAAUUAUAAGAUUGUAAUGGUUAGGAGCUAUAAGAUUAUGUAUUGUAAUUGGAGAUAGAGGUAGUGAAUUUAGUAUUUGAACUGAAUGAAGGAGAGUUAGAAAUGCAUCUUCUUAGUCUUGGCA